GCCCCGGAAUCUAUUCGGGGAGGAAAGUCCGGACUCCAGCAGGGAGGGUGGCUCCUAACAGGAGCAGUCUGCGAAGACUGGAUAGUGCCACAGAAAAGAUACCGCUUGUUGUGGCAAGUAAGGGUGAAAAGGCGAGUUAAGAGCUCACCGAUUCGGCGGUAACGCCGAAGUCAGGUAAACCCCACCUGGAGCAAGGUCAAGUAGAGCCAGGGUCCCUGCCCCGAGUUCCGGCAAAUAGUCGGAACUUCAAGGCUCGGGUAGACCGCAAGAGUAUCAGAGUGAUCUGGUACCCAGAUGGAUGGCAACCAUUAACAGAAUCCGGCUUAGCGCCGUCUGAGCCA
rnacentral:RNase_P_RNA from 1 species